rnacentral:rRNA from 1 species
CAGCAGCCGCGGUAAUACCGGCGGCCCGAGUGGCGGUCACUAUUAUUGGGCUUAAAGCGUCCGUAGCCGGGUUGGGAAGUCCUCCGGGAAAUCUGGCCGCUUAACGGUCAGAAUGCCGGAGGAUACUCCCAGCCUAGGGAGCGGGAGAGGCCGAGGGUGUUCCCGGAGUAGGGGUGAAAUCCUAUAAUCCCGGGAGGACCACCUGUGGCGAAGGCGCUCGGCUGGAACGCGGCCGACGGUGAGGGACGAAGGCCAGGGGAGCAAACCGGAUUAGAUGCCCGGGUAGUCCUGGCUGUAAACGAUGCGGACUUUGUGUCGGACAAGCUAUGAGCUUGUCCGGUGCCGGAGGGAAACCGUUAAGUCCGCCGCCUGGGGAGUACGGCCGCAAGGCUGAAACUUAAAGGAAUUGGCGGG